CAGCAGCCACGGUAAUACGAAGGGUGCAAGCGUUAAUCGGAAUUACUGGGCGUAAAGCGUGCGUAGGCGGUUUGUUAAGUCUGUUGUGAAAUCCCCGGGCUCAACCUGGGAACGGCAAUGGAUACUGGCAAGCUAGAGUGUGUCAGAGGAUGGUGGAAUUCCCGGUGUAGCGGUGAAAUGCGUAGAGAUCGGGAGGAACAUCAGUGGCGAAGGCGGCCAUCUGGGCCAAUACUGACGCUCAUGCACGAAAGCGUGGGGAGCAAACAGGAUUAGAUACCCGCGUAGUCCCUGUCUCUUAUAC
rnacentral:rRNA from 1 species